CGGCCGCUCCGCCACCGCCCCCGCGCCGCCCCCGCCCCGCGCCACUUGUUGCGUUGCGAGAAGGGCUGCGGUGGCGGUGAGACUUCGCAUCCCGUCCUGCCUGAGGUACUGCAGCCGUCCCGGGCGGGAAGCGCAACUGGUGGCUGCUGCAGCACGGCACCCGCAAGCCCUGUCCAGCGCAGCGUGGUGUCAUUGAAGGGCCAGCUGUUAUUGCUGUGAGAGAUCAAGAGCUCCUUCCAACUGCAUCUCCUGUGUCAUCUGCAAAACCACCAACUACAGUCGCCAGUUUACGGGUUGUGGAAAGGCCACCUUGUCAGCUGGGAUCACAUCAGGUGCUCUGAGCUCCCGUUCCUGCAUCAGCCUGUGUGUUUUGAAUAGGAGAAAAAACCAGCCCAGUCCUUCCAGUCAUGCUGCAGAAACAGUGAAGGUGUUGAAGAACACGCUGUGGGAAGAGAAGGACAGAUAAACAGAUUAAAAUAGAGAUGCUGCAGCACCUGGCACAGUUGCUGUACCUAUACAGUUGAU